rnacentral:rRNA from 1 species
AAUGAACGCUGGCGGCGGGCCUAAUACAUGCAAGUCGAGCGAGCGGCGGACGGGCGAGCAAUGUAUGGGGACCUGCCCGAUAGAGGGGGAUAACUCCGGGAAACGGUGGAUAAUACCGCUAACUAUCCGCUGAACCCAUGUUGGAUUAGCUAGUAGGUGGGGUAUAGGCGCACCAAGGCGACGAGCCCUAGCUGGUCUGAGAGGGUGAUCGGCCACACUGGGACUGAGACACGGCCCAGACUCCUACGGGAGGCAGCAGUGGGGAAUCUUGCGCAAUGGGCGCAAGCCUGAUGGAGCCAUGCCGCGUGUAUGAAGAAGGCCUUAGGAUUGUAAAGUACUUUUAUUAGGGAAGCGUUACCCGCACAGGAAGCACCGGCUAACUCCGUGCCAGCAGCCGCGGUAAUAC